rnacentral:rRNA from 1 species
GACGUAGGGGGCCAGCGUUGUUCGGAAUUACUGGGUGUAAAGGGUUCGUAGGCGGUGUGGCAAGUCGGGAGUGAAAUCUCUGGGCUCAACCCAGAGUCUGCUUCCGAAACUGCUGUGCUUGAGUGUGGGAGAGGCGCGUGGAAUUGCAGGUGUAGCGGUGAAAUGCGUAGAUAUCUGCAGGAACACCCGUGGCGAAGGCGGGUCUCUGGGCAGUAACUGACGCUGAGGAGCGAAAGCGUGGGGAGCGAACAGG